UCCUUCUGUAUUUGGAUGGAAGAUUUUCACUCAUCCACUCGUGAUCAUCUAACCACAGACAGUGCCUUUUUUAAACUGCCUUGACAUAUGACAUGAAUGGAGCACACAAUUGUUCUGAUCGGGAUCACCUGCUCUCAAUUUGGAGCGCGUAUAGAAGUGAGUGGUGUCCAGUAUGGAUUGCUGCUUGUUCUCUACCUAUCAUGUCCUGUUACACUGUAAGAAUGUAUAGCAGAUGGCAGGUGAAAGAGGAUGUAGGAUGGAGACUGUAUCAGCAGGACGCU